GACGUAGGGCGCGAGCGUUGUCCGGAUUUAUUGGGCGUAAAGAGCUCGUAGGCGGCUUGUCGCGUCGACUGUGAAAACUUGGGGCUCAACCCCAAGCUUGCAGUCGAUACGGGCAGGCUAGAGUUCGGUAGGGGAGACUGGAAUUCCUGGUGUAGCGGUGAAAUGCGCAGAUAUCAGGAAGAACACCCGUGGCGAAGGCGGCUCUCUGGGACGGUACUGACGCUGAGACGCGAAAGCGUGGGGAGCGAACAGG
rnacentral:rRNA from 1 species